rnacentral:ncRNA from 1 species
UAAGACCAUCUGGGAGAGACCGGUAAAAUCCGGCGCCGACGGAGCAACCGCCCCGGAAACUCUCAGGCAAAAGGACCAGAAUGGUUUA